rnacentral:rRNA from 1 species
UAGCCGUAAACGAUACUCGCUAGGUGUCGGCCACGGUGCGACCGUUGUCGGUGCCGUAGGGAAGCCGUGAAGCGAGCCGCCUGGGAAGUACGGCCGCAAGGCUGAAACUUAAAGGAAUUGGCGGGGGAGCACAACAACGGGUGGAGCUUGCGGUUUAAUUGGAUUCAACGCCGGAAAACUCAUCGGGAGCGACAGCAGUAUGAUUGCCAGGUUGAUGACCUUGCUUGACAAACUGAGAGGUGGUGCAUGGCGUAGACGUCU